rnacentral:rRNA from 1 species
AUUGAACGCUGGCGGCAUGCCUUACACAUGCAAGUCGAACGGCAGCACGGGGCAACCUGGUGGCGAGUGGCGAACGGGUGAGUAAUGCAUCGGAACGUACCUUUCAGUGGGGGAUAACGUAGCGAAAGUUACGCUAAUACCGCAUAUUCUGUGAGCAGGAAAGCAGGGGAUCGCAAGACCUUGCGCCGAUUGAGCGGCCGGUGUCAGAUUAGCUAGUUGGUUAGGUAAAGGCUCACCAAGGAGACGAUCUGUAGCGGGUCUGAGAGGAUGAUCCGCCACACUGGAACUGAGACACGGUCCAGACUCCUACGGGAGGCAGCAGUGGGGAAUUUUGGACAAUGGGGGCAACCCUGAUCCAGCCAUGCCGCGUGAGUGAAGAAGGCCUUCGGGUUGUAAAGCUCUUUCGGCCGGGAAGAAAUCGCACGGGCUAAUACCCUGUGUGGAUGACGGUACCGGAAUAAGAAGCACCGGCUAACUACGUGCCAGCAGCCGCCGUAAGAC